UACGGGGGGGGCAAGCGUUGUUCGGAAUUAUUGGGCGUAAAGCGUAUGUAGGCGGCUAAGUAAGUCAGGCGUGCAAGCCCGAGGCUCAACCACGGAAUUGCGUUUGAAACUGCUUAGCUUGAGUACAGGAGAGGAAAGCGGAAUUCCCAGUGUAGCGGUGAAAUGCAUUGAUAUUGGGAAGAACAUCUGUGGCGAAGGCGGCUUUCUGGUCUGUUACUGACGCUGAGAUACGAAAGCCAGGGUAGCGAACGGG
rnacentral:rRNA from 1 species